AGUCGAGCGAGCUUGCCUAUAGAAAUUCUUCGGAAUGGACAUAGAUACAAGCUAGCGGCGGAUGGGUGAGUAACGCGUGGGUAACCUGCCCUUAAGUCUGGGAUACCAUUUGGAAACAGAUGCUAAUACCGGAUAAAAGCUACUUUCGCAUGAAAGAAGUUUAAAAGGCGGCGUAAGCUGUCGCUAAAGGAUGGACCUGCGAUGCAUUAGCUAGUUGGUAAGGUAACAGCUUACCAAGGCGAUGAUGCAUAGCCGAGUUGAGAGACUGAUCGGCCACAUUGGGACUGAGACACGGCCCAAACUCCUACGGGAGGCAGCAGUAGGGAAUCUUCCACAAUGGACGAAAGUCUGAUGGAGCAACGCCGCGUGAGUGAAGAAGGUUUUCGAGUCGUAAAACUCUGUUGUUGGUGAAGAAGGAUAGAGGUAGUAACUGGCCUUUAUUUGACGGUAAUCAACCAGAAAGUCACGGCUAACUACGUGCCAGCAGCCGCGGUAAUACGUAGGUGGCAAGCGUUGUCCGGAUUUAUUGGGCGUAAAGCGAGCGCAGGCGGAUUGAUAAGUCUGAUGUGAAAGCCUUCGGCUCAACCGAAGAACUGCAUCAGAAACUGUCAAUCUUGAGUGCAGAAGAGGAGAGUGGAACUCCAUGUGUAGCGGUGGAAUGCGUAGAUAUAUGGAAGAACACCAGUGGCGAAGGCGGCUCUCUGGUCUGUAACUGACGCUGAGGCUCGAAAGCAUGGGUAGCGAACAGGAUUAGAUACCCUGGUAGUCCAUGCCGUANACGAUGAGUGCUAAGUGUUGGGAGGUUUCCGCCUCUCAGUGCUGCAGCUAACGCA
rnacentral:rRNA from 1 species